AAAGACUUAGUCCUAACCUUACAGUUAGUUUUUGCUAAAUAUAUACAUGCAAGUAUCCGCGUUCCAGUGUAAAUGCCCUUGAUCCUCUUAAUAAGAUAAAAGGAGCGGGCAUCAGGCACACUAAGUAGUUAGUAGCCUAAGACGCCUUGCCUAGCCACACCCCCACGGGUAUUCAGCAGUAAUUGACAUUAAGCAAUAAGUGAAAACUUGACUUAGUUAUAGCAAACCCCCAGGGUCGGUAAAUCUUGUGCCAGCCACCGCGGUUAUACAAGAGGCCCAAAUUAACUGUCAACACGGCGUAAAGAGUGGUGUACUUAUUCUACCUAUAUAAUUAGAAUCAAAGCGUAGCCAAGCUGUCAUAAGCCUAUGCUACCCCUAAAAUCAUCCCAACACGAUUUUAAUAUCUCCUGGUAAACCAAACCUCCACGAAAGCUAGGGCACAAACUGGGAUUAGAUACCCCACUAUGCCUAGCCCUAAAUCUUGGUGUCCCGCCUUACCAAAGCACCCGCCUGAGAACUACGAGCACAAACGCUUGAAACUCUAAGGACUUGGCGGUGUCCCAAACCCACCUAGAGGAGCCUGUUCUGUAAUCGAUAACCCACGAUUCACCCAACCGACCUUAGCCUAAAAUCAGCCUAUAUACCGCCGUCGCCAGUUCACCUCUCCUGAAAGAACAACAGUGAACAUAAUAGCCCCCGCUAGUAAGACAGGUCAAGGUAUAGCCUAUGGGUCGGAAGCAAUGGGCUACAUUUUCUAUUUAAUAGAAAACACGAAAAGGGACAUGAAACUGUCCCUAGAAGGCGGAUUUAGUAGUAAAGAGGGAUAAUUAAGCCCCCUUAAAAUUGGCCCUGGGACGCGUACAUACCGCCCGUCACCCUCCUCACAAGCCCAAUCUUACAAUACCUAAUAUCCCACUACAAGCUAAAGAUGAGGUAAGUCGUAACAAGGUAAGUGUACCGGAAGGUGUACUUAGCAUAU
rnacentral:ncRNA from 1 species